rnacentral:tRNA from 1 species
GCUCCCGUAGUUCAACUGCGAUAGAACACCCGGACAUCAUCCGGGAGGCGUGAGUUCGAUUCCCAUCAGGAGCGCCA